GGACCAUCAUGUCGGUCGUGCCUCGGUACGUACUGGUAUUGUUGGUUUCUCCCUUCUGACGAACCAUGAUGUCAUUUAUUUGGUGUUGUGGGGAAUCAGGACUGUUACUUUGAAAAAAUUAGAGUGUUUAAAGCAGGCUCACGCUUGAAUACAUUAGCAUGGAAUAAUGAAAUAGGACCUCGGUUCUAUUUUGUUAGUUUCUAGGAUCGAUAUA
rnacentral:rRNA from 1 species